rnacentral:lncRNA from 1 species
UGAGCAGCAUUUGUUAUCAAUUUCCUACUUUUGGAGAGUGGUUUCCUUCUGAACUCUGCGUAUGUGAAAAUAUCGCUACGUGGCACGAUGGGGUUAAUGUUUUAAGGCUGCUUUAAUGUAGAGGGCAAUUCAGCAAACUAUACUGGGAAGGAGGCAUUUCCCAACCUCUGAACACUUACUAUUGCUCAUCUUGAGGCAGCAACUCAAGGGAUUCAUGGCACUGCAGUUUCCAUUCUGAAAGUCUCAAGCAGACUUUCCCAUGGAUCAA